UACGAAGGGGGCUAGCGUUGCUCGGAAUCACUGGGCGUAAAGGGUGCGUAGGCGGCGAGGUAAGUCUGGUGUGAAAUCCUGGGGCUCAACCCCAGAAUUGCACUGGAUACUGCUUUGCUAGAGGACUGGAGAGGAGAUUGGAAUUCACGGUGUAGCAGUGAAAUGCGUAGAUAUCGUGAGGAAGACCAGUGGCGAAGGCGAAUCUCUGGACAGUUCCUGACGCUGGAGGCAACGAAGGCUAGGGGAGCAAACGGG
rnacentral:rRNA from 1 species